rnacentral:rRNA from 1 species
AAUAUAUGUCAAAACGACUCUCGGCAACGGAUAUCUCGGCUCUCACAUCGAUGAAGAAGGGAAAGAAAUGCGAUACUUGGUGUGAAUUGCAGAAUCCCGUGAACCAUCGAGUCUUUGAACGCAAGUUGCGCCCGAAGCCUCUAGGCCGAGGGCACGCCUGCCUGGGCGUCACGCGCCGUUGCCCCC